rnacentral:rRNA from 1 species
ACGCUGGCGGCGUGCCUAACACAUGCAAGUCGAGCGAGGAGAUUCCUUCGGGAUGAUCCUAGCGGCGGACGGGUGAGUAACACGUGGGCAACCUGCCUCAUAGAGAGGAAUAGCCUUCCGAAAGGGAGAUUAAUACCUCAUAACAUUGCAGUUUCGCAUGGAACAGCAAUUAAAGGAGUAAUCCGCUAUGAGAUGGGCCCGCGGCGCAUUAGCUAGUUGGUGAGGUAACGGCUCACCAAGGCGACGAUGCGUAGCCGACCUGAGAGGGUGACCGGCCACAUUGGGACUGAGACACGGCCCAGACUCCUACGGGAGGCAGCAGUGGGGAAUAUUGCACAAUGGGGGAAACCCUGAUGCCAGCAACGCCGCGUGAGUGAUGACGGCCUUCGGGUUGUAAAGCUCUGUCUUCAGGGACGAUAAUGACGGUACCUGAGGAGGAAGCCACGGCUAACUACGUGCCAGCCGCCGC